UACGAAGGGGGCGAGCGUUAUUCGGAAUCACUGGGCGUAAAGGGUGCGUAGGUGGCAAUUUAAGUCAGUUGUUAAAAAUUACGGCUUAACCGUAAAGGUGCGAUUGAUACUGGAUAGCUAGAGGACAAGAGAGAGAAGUGGAAUUCCCGGAGUAGCGGUAAAAUGCGUAGAUCUCGGGAGGAACACCAAUUGCGAAGGCAGCUUCUUGGCUUGUUGCUGACACUGAGGCACGAAAGCGUGGGGAGCAAACAGG
rnacentral:misc_RNA from 1 species